UCCCUCUUAGCUCAGUGGUAGAGCGCGUCACUAGUAUAUCUUUCUUGAGAGUAUAUGACGAGGUCAGUCGUUCAAAUCGGCUAGCGGGAA
rnacentral:tRNA from 1 species